UGCUCGGGGCCGGGCGCCGAGCACCCUCCCCCCCGCGCUGAAGCGAGGGGGCCACACAAAGCGGCGCGGCGGCGCCUUUCCCGCCGCCUCUCAGGCGGCCGCAGCCCCUGCCCCGCUGCCGGGCUCGGGGCCGCCCCGCGGCGCCAACGAUGGAGCCUCCGGUGCCGCAGCCUCAGGAGCAGCCGCCGCGCCCUCGCUCCCACACGGUGACUACCACCAGCAGCUCCUUCACCGCCAACCUGUCGGCCAGCUCCAGCACCCUCGCCUACGACAGGGAGUUCCUGCGGACCCUGCCUGGGCUCCUCAUGGUGACCGAGAUCGAACUGUAUUCCUUCAGGGAAGAUGGGAGAAAGGAAGAUAGGAGUGCUAUAGAAAAGGAAAAGUUUUACUUAGAUAGAAGAGCCAAGAUCAAGGUAGAAGAACACACAGAUACUGGGGCUGCUGGUGUGGACCCUGAUUGCUGGAACAGAAUACUUUCUAUAUCCAGCCUUCGGCUGGGUGAUGUUUGUAGCUGUGUUUUACUGGGUUCUCACCGUCUUCUUCCUGAUCAUCUACAUGACAAUGACCUACACCAGGAUCCCCCAGGUGCCAUGGACCACGGUGGGUCUUUGUUUUAAUGGAAGUGCCUUCCUUUUGUACCUCAUUGCUGCCAUUGUAGAUGCAUCUUCAGUUACCAAAGAGCUGGACAGUCACAAUUACAACAGCUGGGCAGCUUCUUCAUUCUUUGCCUUCGUGGUUACCUCCUGCUAUGCUGGAAAUACGUAUUUUAGCUUUAUAUCUUGGCAAUCACGAACUUUGCAGUAAAUAUUUUGCUAAAGUGAAUUCUGUAGUAUAAAAUACUUUGAGGAUUGUACUCUUUUCGACAAAAACUUGGAAGAGGGAUGAGGUAUUUUUGAACGUUUCUGUUAGUAUUGGCAUGAUAUAUUUUAAGCAUAUAUUAAAAUUGUUAUUUAUAAUACAAUAUCUUUAGAGAGAUCUAACACUGACUUUGUACUGUAUAAUAAAAUUUUGUACUGCUUCUUUUAAGAUUAACAUGGUAUUUUUCUAGGCACUGUAUAGAAGUUAUUACUAAAGCUUUAAUAAAUCUUAUUCAGACAAUGAGCUGAUUUUGUAAAUGCAACUUUUUAAAUGUCACAGGUAUACUUUUGAUACUGAAUGCUACAAAUGAAAAACUAAGAUUGAUACUGUCUCAUUAUUAUGUAUAAGAAGUGACUGUGCAGAAAAAAAACACACCCAAAACUUUUAAAAUAAAUAAAUAAUUGCCCUA